UACGAAGGGGGGCUAGCGUUUGUUCGAAUUACUGGGCGUAAAGCGCACGUAGGCGGAUUUGUAAGUCAGGGGUGAAAUCCCGGGGCUCAACCUCGGAACUGCCUUUGAUACUGCAAGUCUCGAGUCCGAUAGAGGUGAGUGGAAUUCCUAGUGUAGAGGUGAAAUUCGUAGAUAUUAGGAAGAACACCAGUGGCGAAGGCGGCUCACUGGAUCGGUACUGACGCUGAGGUGCGAAAGCGUGGGGAGCAAACUACGG
rnacentral:rRNA from 1 species